ACAAUGGCAACUGUCAAGCAGUGGGAUAUAUUAGGCAGCAAGUGAACAGUCAGUUCUUGAAGUUGAUGUGUGGGAAGCAGGAAAAAUGGGCAAGCGUAAGGAUCUGAGCUACUUUGACAAGGGCCAAAUUGUGAUGGCUAGACAACUGGGUCAGAGCAUCUCCAAAACAGCAGGUCUUGUGCAGCGUUCCCGGUAUGCAGGGGUUGGUACCUACCAAAGGUAGUCUAAGAAAGGACAACCAGUGAACCAGCAACAAGGUCACGGAUGCCCAAGGCUCACUGAUGCUGGGAAACUUUGUGUCCUGGCAUUCAUGUGGAUGUUACUUUGACACCUACCACCUACCUAAACAUUGUUGCAGACCAAGUAUCCCCGUUCAAGGCAACAGUAUUCCCUAAUGGCAGGGUCUCUUUCAGCAGGAUAAUGUGGUCUGCAAAACACUGCAAAGAUUGUUAAGGAAUGGUUUGAGGAACAUGACAAAGAGGUCAAAGAUGUUGACAUGGCCUCCAAAUUCCCCAGAUCUCAAUCUUGUCUGUGGGAAGUGCUGGACAAAUAAGUCCGAUCCGUGGAGGCCCCACCUCACAACUUACAGGACUUAAAGGAUCUGCUGCUAACAUCUUGGUGCCAGAUACCACAGCACACCUUCAGAGGUCUUGUGGAGUCCAUGCCUCUACAGUUCAGAGCUGUUUUGGUGGCACAAGUGGGACCUACACAAUAUUAGGCAGGUUGUUUUAAUGUUAUGGCUGAUCUGUGUGUAUUAGGUCCAGUGAAGACAAAAGCGAGUAACACUUUUCCUCAGCACUCGACUUUUCUUUUCAUGCUCUACACAACUUCCUGUAACAGGAUCUUAGCUCGAUGCUAUUCUCCCUGCCUGACCUAGUGUACUAGCACGAGGACUGUAACUGCACUUCUACCUGCCUGGCCCAUCCUGAUGCUCUACUUCUGCUAGGAGCUUCCUUCAUCUUCUGCUGUUGAGGAUGGCCCCACAAGGACAGCCUAAAGAUUGCCAUGAGAUUGCUGUAGAUGGUGCCACAUGGAUACCCUAAAGAUGGCCAUGCAUGAUCUCCCUUGGAUACUAUAGAUGUAAAGCUAAAAACUCCAAUGAAUUAAAAAAAUGACUCUCAGAUGCUCAUACUGCUUUACUUUAUCAUCUACAGGUUGUGGAAUAGUAAUGAUAAUAAUAAUUGCACUAUCAGGUGUCACCCAGAAAAGGAUCACUUCCCUUUUGAGUAUGGUUCCUCUCAGGAUUUCUUCCUUAUGUCUUUUCAGGGACUUUUUCCUUGCGACUGUCACCUCUGGCUUGCUCAUUAGGGAUCUAAAUCAUAUUCAGAUUUUAUGUACUGCUUUGUGACAAUCUCCAUUGUUAAAAAAACUAUAUAAAUAAAAUUGAAUUGAACCUAG